rnacentral:lncRNA from 1 species
GGCACUUCUUCAUGCUGCCUUGCGAAGAAGCUGGCUUGCUUCCUCUUUGUCUUCCGCCAUGAUUGUAGAUUUCCUGAGGCCUCCCAAGCUGUGCUGAACUACCAAACCAAUGCAGACCAAACCAAUGCAGAACUCCUAUGUGCUGAUGGUGGUCUUACAUUUCCCUAAGUUUCUGCCGACUAAACUGUGCACACGUUCUCAGGACCUCCUGAAGCUGCGUCACAGGCACUAAUCAAAGAACACAACCAAGAGUUUGGCCUUUUCUUCAGCACUGGGAAUUGUGAUCCAAAGCUUUUCCUGAUGAAGCACAAAGUUGGAGAAAAAAAACGCAAACUAAACAACAACAAUGAAACAGAACAGAGUGAAUCUGCUGUAGCUCAAGAGAGGACGUAGCUGCCCCCACUCCGCAUCCCCGGGCUCGGGUUUGCCUUGCUGACCUCUGCUGCCACCUGGUGCCGCACAGAGAAACUGAGGAGAAACCACAUCAGUCUCCUUCAGCCUCAGCUUCACAUCUGUGGGUCAAGUAACCCUUUCAGAAGCUGAAUAAUGUGGGAAAGCUUUCCUCUCAGGAAAAUGCACACAUCCAACUUUGAGAAGAUGCCCUUGGGGGCGCUUCAAGGAUUCUAGAUAAUAACCCCCUUUCCCGAACAUCCAAGAACCUAAGAUUUUUUUUUUUUUUUUGAGAAAGUCUCGCUCUCUCUCCCAGUCUGGAGUGCAGUGGCGUGAUCUUGGCUCACUGCCAGCUCCACCUCCCAGGUUCACGCCAUUCUCCUGCUUCAGCCUCCCUAGUAGCUGGGGCUACAGGCACCUGCCACCAAACCCGGCUAAUUUUUUUGUAUUUUUAGUAGAGACGGGGUUUCACCGUGUUAGCCAGGAUCGUCUUGAUCUCCUGACCUUGUGAUCCACCCGCCUCGGCCUCCCAAAUUGCUGGGAUUACAGAUGUGAGCCACCGCACCUGGUCCAAGAGCCCAAGUUUUAGAUCUAGAGUGAUGUCAGCAUGACAUUGAUUUCCUGAGGCCCAGGGGCGAAGGAGCUGAGGACAGCAGAGGGGUGAAGGAACUCAGCUACAGACAGCAGCAGCUGAUGCACAGGCCUCCCAGCGCCUGAAGUCACCCGGAAUUGGGAAGUGCUCAGAAGCUUACAAAGCUGCCUCGAGCAGAAGAAUCCCAGACUUCUUAGAGAACCCAGUGACUUUUUGCACCUUAAAUCUGUGAAAUCCUCAUGCUUUCUUCUGCCGUAUCCAUCGUUCAAACAAACAUGAGGCAAAGCUAGACACAUUCCUGAAGGAACCCAAGAAAUUCCUCUCUUUCUCUCUCUGGAAUGAAAUGAAUUCUCUAGACCACCAGUUCUAACCUUCAAAAACGAAACCUGUUUGUGAGAUCUCCUUCAAAUACUACUGUAGACCCCAGUGUUUAUUCAUUAAAUUUUUUAAACAUUUGUUUUAUUUGGAAUCAAAGUAUUUGUAAUUUUAGUAUUUGUAUUAAUAUAAGGGAGAAAUGUUUAAAUCUGUCUAUGCCACAUGUGCCUUCGGCUUAUUGCCCAAUUAAUUGUAGCCUCAGGCUAAACUUUGGUUUCUGUCUUUAAUUUUUGUCGGAAGAAAUAUAACUGGUCUCAAAA